UCUACUCCUGAUUAUUAUGUUCAGUUAGUA
rnacentral:piRNA from 1 species